rnacentral:lncRNA from 1 species
GUGGCUAACUCUCAAAAACCAAUCCUUGCAUCCCACGGUAGGACUGGGCCAGGAACGGAAGGUGUCCUUCCACAGAUCCAGAGAAAAGUUCUCGGCUCUAAAAGGGAUUAUGUUUGUUUCUACAUUGAUAAGAUUGGUGGGAUCUGGAUCCCCUAACGGACCAAGACAUUGGAGGUGUGGCUGAUCGGUAGGGAUGACAAUUUUAUUGGACAGAUCCUAAUGGUUUUCAAGGUAGAAGAAGAACAAAGAAAGAAAAAGAAAAAAUGUUCAGUAAAAUAAAUUGCGGAUGAACAGGGAUACGGUAAAAGCACAGGAGGUGGAAUGAAGAACUAAUCUCAGGAACGGUGAAGUUGAUGGCCAUCUCCUCACGAAAAGGAUGAUCGAAGGCUUCGAGGUUGGUGAAGAAGGGCCUUUGUUGGGGUUCUUGGAGAUCUCGAACAGCGCCGCCGCC